GACGAACGCUGGCGGCGUGCCUAAUACAUGCAAGUCGAACGCUUUUUCUUUCACCGGAGCUUGCUCCACCGAAAGAAAAAGAGUGGCGAACGGGUGAGUAACACGUGGGUAACCUGCCCAUCAGAAGGGGAUAACACUUGGAAACAGGUGCUAAUACCGUAUAACACUAUUUUCCGCAUGGAAGAAAGUUGAAAGGCGCUUUUGCGUCACUGAUGGAUGGACCCGCGGUGCAUUAGCUAGUUGGUGAGGUAACGGCUCACCAAGGCAACGAUGCAUAGCUGACCUGAGAGGGUGAUCGGCCACACUGGGACUGAGACACGGCCCAGACUCCUACGGGAGGCAGCAGUAGGGAAUCUUCGGCAAUGGACGAAGGUCUGACCGAGCAACGCCGCGUGAGUGAAGAAGGUUUUCGGAUCGUAAAACUCUGUUGUUAGAGAAGAACAAGGAUGAGAGUAAAAUGUUCAUCCCUUGACGGUAUCUAACCAGAAAGCCACGGCUAACUACGUGCCAGCAGCCGCGGUAAUACGUAGGUGGCAAGCGUUGUCCGGAUUUAUUGGGCGUAAAGCGAGCGCAGGCGGUUUCUUAAGUCUGAUGUGAAAGCCCCCGGCUCAACCGGGGAGGGUCAUUGGAAACUGGGAGACUUGAGUGCAGAAGAGGAGAGUGGAAUUCCAUGUGUAGCGGUGAAAUGCGUAGAUAUAUGGAGGAACACCAGUGGCGAAGGCGGCUCUCUGGU
rnacentral:rRNA from 1 species